UACGUAGGGUGCAAGCGUUUGUCCGGAAUUAUUGGGCGUAAAGAGCUCGUAGGCGGUCUGUUGCGUCGGCUGUGAAAACCCGGGGCUCAACUCCGGGCCUGCAGCCGAUACGGGCAGACUAGAGUUCGGCAGGGGAGACUGGAAUUCCUGGUGUAGCGGUGAAAUGCGCAGAUAUCAGGAGGAACACCGGUGGCGAAGGCGGGUCUCUGGGCAGUAACUGACGCUGAGGAGCGAAAGCGUGGGGAGCGAACAGG
rnacentral:rRNA from 1 species